ACCCUGGGAAUCAAGCCUUCCAUUAUGUCUGCCAGAGACUUGGAGUCCGUCACAUCAUCACUGAGCCCAAAGCGAGGAUGCCAUGAGGAAAGCUGGCAUGGCGCACAGUAAAUCCAGCAAUGAUACGGAGAGCCAUGUGUUCCUGAAGGCCAAGCCCCGGGAUCCAGGUGCCCCUGUAAGAAGCAGAGGUUCCAGCCAACGAGGACACCAUCCAGGCUGCCGAAAAUGCUCUCUACCAGCCAUGGAAGAUGGUAUGCAGAUCCUGAAACCGUGUGCGGCGAGGCUGCAGGCAGGCCCAGCACCCGGCUCUAGUCCUGCACUGCCUGCUGCCCAGCUCCCUCCGAGGAGGCCACUCCCUGGCUGAGACCCACGGGAUCAGCCCUGCGCCCAAAGGAACCCUGGUGUGAUGGUGCCAAUGAGAAGAGAAGCUUUGGAUUCUUCCAGUGUGGUACAUGGCAUACCAAGCAGCGUUGCUUUAGAU
rnacentral:lncRNA from 1 species